UACGUAGGAGGCAAGCGUUAUCCGGAAUGACUGGGCGUAAAGGGUGCGUAGGUGGUUCGACAAGUUGGUAGCGUAAUUCCGGGGCUCAACCUCGGCGCUACUACCAAAACUGUUGGGCUUGAGUGCAGGAGGGGCAGAUGGAAUUCCUAGUGUAGCGGUGGAAUGCGUAGAUAUUAGGAGGAACACCAGUGGCGAAGGCGAUCUGCUGGACUGUAACUGACACUGAGGCACGAAAGCGUGGGGAGCAAACAGG
rnacentral:rRNA from 1 species